rnacentral:rRNA from 1 species
UACCCGCUUGGAAAUUAAGCAUAUAAUUAAGCGGAGGAAGAGAAACUAACCAGGAUUCCCCCAGUAAGGGCGACUGAAGCGGGACUAGCUCAUUCUGUGAAUCUGCGCUCCGCGCCGAAUUGUGGUCUGUAGAUGCAAGUGUUUGGCAGGCCGGGCCAAGUCCCUUGGAAGAGGGCAGCCGAGAGGGUGAGACUCCCGUGUUUGCCUGGGCAGCUGCCACUUGACACUUGCUUUCGAGGAGUCGGGUUGUUUGGGAUUGCAGCUCGAAUUGGGUGGUAAAUUCCAUCUAAAGCUAAAUACUGGUGGGAGACCGAUAGCGUACAAGUACCGUGAGGGAAAGAUGCAAAGAACUUUGAAAAGAGAGUUAAAGAGUACCUGAAAUUGCUGAGAGGGAAGCGAAGGAAACCAGUGCCUUGCUCGGUCAUAAUUUCUCGGCUGCUUGCGGACGAGACGCUGUGGCUGUGCGCGGGUCACCUUUGGUUUGCCCCGAUAGAAACCUGCCGUCUGGAGGAAGGCCCUCCUCUGGGCCGAUACGGUCGGCUAGUGUGUCGGGGGCGACCGAAGGUGACGAAAUGGUUUUCUUUACCCCGUCUUGAAACCGGGGACCAAGGA